GUUAGUGUAGUGUUUAUCACAUUCGCCUCACACACGUAAGUUCUCCGGUUCGAUCCCAGACGGAACCA